AUACGAACCGGACAAACGUUAUUCGGCAUUAUUGGGCUUAAAGGGUGCGUAGGCGGCGCGGUAAGUGAGGUGUGAAAGCCCACGGCUCAACCGUGGAAUUGCGCUUCAUACUGCCGUGCUAGAGGGAGACAGAGGUAAGCGGAACUGAUGGUGGAGCGGUGAAAUGCGUUGAUAUUAUCAGGAACACCAGUGGCGAAAGCGGCUUACUGGGUCUCUUCUGACGCUGAGGCACGAAAGCUAGGGUAGCGAACGGGAUUAGAAACCCCGGUAGUCC
rnacentral:rRNA from 1 species